rnacentral:rRNA from 1 species
CCUACGGGUGGCAGCAGUGAGGAAUAUUGGUCAAUGGACGAGAGUCUGAACCAGCCAAGUAGCGUGAAGGAUGACUGCCCUAUGGGUUGUAAACUUCUUUUAUAUGGGAAUAAAAUGUUCCACGUGUGGGAUUUUGUAUGUACCAUAUGAAUAAGGAUCGGCUAACUCCGUUCCAGCAGCCGCGGUAAUACGGAGGAUCCGAGCGUUAUCCGGAUUUAUUGGGUUUAAAGGGAACGUAGGUGGAUUGUUAAGUCAGUUGUGAAAGUUUGCGGCUCAACCGUAAAAUUGCAGUUGAAACUGGCAGUCUUGAGUACAGUAGAGGUGAGCGGAACUCGUGGUGUAGCGGUGAAAUGCUUAGAUAUCACGAAGAACUCCGAUUGCGAAGGCAGCUCACUGGACUGCAACUGACACUGAGGCUCGAAAGUGUGGGUAGCAAACAGGAUUAGAUACCCGUGUAGUC